GAGAAGGUGGCUCAGUGGUAGAGUGCUUGCUUUGCAUGCAUGAGGCCUCGGGUUCGAUUCCUCAUCACCACA
rnacentral:tRNA from 1 species